rnacentral:rRNA from 1 species
AUUGAACGCUGGCGGCAUGCCUUACACAUGCAAGUCGAACGGCAGCGGACCUUCGGGUGCCGGCGAGUGGCGAACGGGUGAGUAAUAUAUCGGAACGUACCUUUCAGUGGGGGAUAACGUAGCGAAAGUUACGCUAAUACCGCAUAUUCUGUGAGCAGGAAAGCAGGGGAUCGCAAGACCUUGCGCUGAUUGAGCGGCCGAUAUCAGAUUAGCUAGUUGGUGAGGUAAAGGCUCACCAAGGCGACGAUCUGUAGCGGGUCUGAGAGGAUGAUCCGCACACUGGAACUGAGACACGGUCCAGACUCCUACGGGAGGCAGCAGUGGGGAAUUUUGGACAAUGGGCGCAAGCCUGAUCCAGCCAUGCCGCGUGAGUG